AUGUCCGUGCCGCCAAGAUGGCCCGAUCUGCCGCCUGAGCUGCUCGCCGUCGUCUCCGGUCGCCUGCACGACGCGGCUGACUUCAUCCGCUUCCAUGCCGUCUGCACGCGGUGGCGGGACUCGCUGCCCCAGACGACGGCGCUCCGCCCGGCCUUCUUUCCCUGGCUCAUCGCCCCGCCGUCCGGCUAUGGAUGUUCGCACGUCAAUCUCCGCUGCGUCUUCUCCAAGACAAGCUACCUCGCGGUCGCGGGCGCGCCAGCGACGUUCUCCAACCGCAGGUUGGUGACGCGAGCCGACGGCUCGGCGGCCUGGUUCUUCACCGUUGGCUCCAGGCCUACACUCGUCGACCCUCUCACAGGAGGGGUCACGGCCCUGCCGUCCUUCCCGGAGGACGACGAGAAGACCGCGCGGAGGAUGGAGAUCUCCCGCGACAUCAUCUACGACGACGACACGGUCUUCCUCUACAACUUCUCCUACUCCGAGGACCUCGAUGAGGAUGACGACGAGACAGAGCAACAAAUCGACGUAUGUUUCAACACGGCCGUCCUUCGUCCCGGAGAUACCGCGUGGAAAUUAGUCCACAGACCGUUGGAGGGGUACAACGAGGACGAGGUAGAGGGGGAGUACGAAAUCUACGACAAUCGUUUCCUGGCCGCAUACCGUGUCGACGAGAGGAAGAAGACCCUGCUGUGCGUGGACGGGGAAGAUCACAAUGACACAUGGGCAUGGUACUUCCUUGCAGAGUGGGGACCUAGUGCCGAAACAGAUGACACAUACUUGACGGAAGAGGUCGACGCCACCGGCUGGUACGUCGAGUCCAGCCACAACCUUGAGUCCCGGGGCGAGCUGCUGCAGGUGACUGUCGUGGUCCGACGAGACAGGGGCUUCAUAUAUCAGGGCGCAGCAGCCCAGGCGAGCGCGCUGGUGGUGUGGGUGCACGCGUGGGAGGAAGGGGCGGAUGCAAACGGUGAACGAAGGUUUCGGUGGGUGAGGAAGGAUGGUCGGAGCUUCGCAGACCGCAUGAUGUUUUUGGGGUUCCCGACCAGCUUCGCCGUGGAAGCCACGAGGUUCCGGGGCGGGGAGGACGACGUGAGCGGCGGGUGCGUCUACUUGCUCCACCACAGAAGGUUGGAGUUGCAUGGCUUGGCAUCGCGUGGCGUGUUCAGGUACAAUCUUCUCGACGGCAUGGCUAAGUUCAUUGAGCGCCUGCCUCUAGAUCUGGAGUGGAGCGGCCAGAAAAAUGAGGCAUGCCUGUGGUUCAUGCCCCAGCCUUCCAUUGCUCCCAUCCAGGUAAUCAGAGAAAGGCUAGUGGGGGCAGAUCAUCCAAAUGUGAGAAGAAUUAGCACUUGCCGCAUGAAUAGACAACCAAAACAGCCCAAGCCGCCCUUCUUCAGUUUCCUCGUGCAAAACCUACCUCCAGGCGCGGACAGCUCUCGGCUGUGCUCCUUCUUCGGUAAGCACGGCCAGGUUUCCGCCGCUGAGGUGAUCUCACCAGGGACGGCACGUGUUACCAUGUUCAUGGAGACGGUGGACAGACUAGAUGACGCCGAGGCCACCCUCGAUGGGCUGGUCUUGGAUGGAUGCACCCUGACGGUGAAGUGGUGA
rnacentral:rRNA from 1 species